rnacentral:lncRNA from 1 species
AUGAGGCACGGGGAAUCAAAGAGGCCCCUUCUCUCGCUGCGACUUUCACACAUGCUCCCUCGCUCGGGCUCCUUCCUUCUCCCUCUCCCAUGUUCCCUCGGUCUUUGCCUCUUUUAUUUAUUUAUUUAUUUUUUUUUAUGGCUCCCCUCUCUCCGCAUCUCGCGGAGAUGGAGGAGAAGCGUCAGCAUCUUCCCCCCCACGCGCUCCCUCUCUGCCGUCUGUUCCUCUCCCGGCUCCCCCUCUCCCUCUCUCUCUCUCCUUCCCUCAUCUGUCUCCUCGCUCUCCUUCCUCCACUCUUACCUUUAUGCUAUUCCCUUCCUCCCAAAGUUAGCAGAGAAGCGGGAGGGUGGGGGCUGCCUGCGCCGGGCUUUAACUCCUUCCUCGCCCUCUCGCGGCUCUCCCCUUCUCGCCUGCGCUGGGUGCUGGGUGCUGGGUGCUGGCUGUGGGGCUCCCGUGGGUCCCCUGGAGGUCCAGGAGGUGCCUGCAGGGGUUGCAGCGGGCUGGAAGCAGCCUCAAUCCCCGUGCCAGGAGCUGAGGGCUGCCCCUGGCACCUCCACCCUGGCACCCGUGGGUGCGGAGCUCUCUGCGCGCCCCUUCCCUGCGCCACCGGCACCCGACGGGGCUGGGCUGGGUGCCCCAGGAGGGUGCCCUGCAUCCCUCAGCAUCGCGGUGCUGCAGGUCCAAGGAGGUGUGACAGCUUCUGCAGUGCCUCUGUCACCUCCACGCCCAGCCCUUGGCAAGGGAGAAGGCGUUCGGGAGCCCCGGGGGGGUGGCAGAGCUCCCCAGCCCCCUGUGCCCCAACUCCAAACGUGGUCAAAUACUCGCUGGGAUGUCUCCCUAGCCCCGAGGGAACCCAUCCCUGCCCGCUCAGGGACUUGGGUUGCUCCUUGCAGUGCUGCGGCGAGCCAAAGGAGGUGGUUUUGCAGCCACAGGCCCAUGGGGACAUCGGUGCCGGGGGGAGAUGGGUCUGAGCUCGCGGCACUGCUGCUGCCUUGGAGCGGACACAGUCUCCGUGUCGCCGGCAUUUCAACAGGGUGCUGUGUGGCAGUUCCAGUCGUGCCCAGAAAUCAGGUUUUUGUGCCAUAA